rnacentral:rRNA from 1 species
CCUACGGGAGGCAGCAGUGGGGAAUUUUGGACAAUGGGCGAAAGCCUGAUCCAGCCAUGCCGCGUGAGUGAAGAAGGCCUUCGGGUUGUAAAGCUCUUUUAGUCGGAAAGAAAGAGUUGCAAUGAAUAAUUGUGAUUUAUGACGGUACCGACAGAAAAAGCACCGGCUAACUACGUGCCAGCAGCCGCGGUAAUACGUAGGGUGCGAGCGUUAAUCGGAAUUACUGGGCGUAAAGGGUGCGCAGGCGGUCUUGCAAGUCAGAUGUGAAAGCCCCGGGCUUAACCUGGGAAUUGCGUUUGAAACUACAAGGCUAGAGUGCAGCAGAGGGGAGUGGAAUUCCAUGCGUAGCAGUGAAAUGCGUAGAGAUGUGGAAGAACACCGAUGGCGAAGGCAGCUCCCUGGGUUGACACUGACGCUCAUGCACGAAAGCGUGGGGAGCAAACAGGAUUAGAUACCCUGGUAGUCCACGCCCUAAACGAUGUCAACUAGUUGUCGGAUCUAAUUAAGGAUUUGGUAACGUAGCUAACGCGUGAAGUUGACCGCCUGGGGAGUACGGUCGCAAG